rnacentral:lncRNA from 1 species
UAGAAAUCUCAAGUACAGUAUAUGGAUUUAUUUGAAGUCUAGCUCUCAACAUUUGUUUAAUCUCCAACACUGAAGUAUUUGCAUAAUAUGCUUGUUUAUAUGUUUUGGGUUUGGAUGUUUAUAUGUUUUCACUUAUUUAGACAUUUUCUCCAGUUUUACGGAUCUAAAGUUGCAAAUGCAGCAUCAAGGGUCUAAAAGAUCUAUUUAAAAGUCAUAAUAUCUCUCUUCUAAUAUCAAGAGUCACCCAAUAAUACAUCAUUAUGCCUUGUAUUAACAACCCUACAGUUAAGCCUAAC